rnacentral:rRNA from 1 species
UACGAAGGGGGCUAGCGUUGUUCGGAAUUACUGGGCGUAAAGGGCGCGUAGGCGGCUCUGAUCGUCGGAUGUGAAAGCCCUGGGCUCAACCCGGGAAUUGCGCUUGAGACUGGUGUGCUUGAGUACGGGAGAGGAUAGUGGAAUUCCCAGUGUAGAGGUGAAAUUCGUAGAUAUUGGGAAGAACACCGGUGGCGAAGGCGGCUAUCUGGACCGUAACUGACGCUGAGGUGCGAAAGCGUGGGGAGCAAACAGG